rnacentral:tRNA from 1 species
GGGCCAGUAGCUCAGUGGUAGAGCGUCUGUCUUAUAAACAGAAGGUUUCGAUGGUUCGAUCCCAUCCUGGCCCA